AGUGAACGCUGGCGGUAGGCCUAACACAUGCAAGUCGAACGGCAGCACAGGAGAGCUUGCUCUCUGGGUGGCGAGUGGCGGACGGGUGAGGAAUACAUCGGAAUCUACUCUGUCGUGGGGGAUAACGUAGGGAAACUUACGCUAAUACCGCAUAUGACCUACGGGUGAAAGCAGGGGACCUUCGGGCCUUGCGCGAUUGAAUGAGCCGAUGUCGGAUUAGCUAGUUGGCGUGGUAAAGGCCCACCAAGGCGACGAUCCGUAGCUGGUCUGAGAGGAUGAUCAGCCACACUGGAACUGAGACACGGUCCAGACUCCUACGGGAGGCAGCAGUGGGGAAUAUUGGACAAUGGGCGCAAGCCUGAUCCAGCCAUACCGCGUGGGUGAAGAAGGCCUUCGGGUUGUAAAGCCCUUUUGUUGGGAAAGAAAUCCAGCUGGCUAAUACCCGGUUGGGAUGACGGUACCCAAAGAAUAAGCACCGGCUAACUUCGUGCCAGCAGCCGCCGCGG
rnacentral:rRNA from 1 species